AGACAGGGUGACUAGUGAAGGCUCCCUGGAGUGUUAUUGAACACAGACUUCUUUUGGUAUGUCCACAUGAGCAUAUUUCCUCUCUGUGUGUGAUUCUAUAUUUGUCCCUCCCAAAACUGUAUGCUUGAUAAAAGUGGAAGCAUUUCCUGGGUAAGUUCUCUACAUGUUAUCUUCCUGGAUAAUACCAUCUAUCCAAGGGUUUGUGGGUGCCUCUAAUUUUUUGCUAGACCCUUCAGACAAGUUCUCAAGAAUGACUUAUAGGAGAAAGUAGAGUUGUCAAGCUUCAGUUAAAACAUUCAGUUCUGCUUAAGCUGGGUUU
rnacentral:snRNA from 1 species